rnacentral:SRP_RNA from 1 species
ACAAGCUCCUCACGCGGCGCUAUUCUAAGCAAAACUCCCCCAGGGCAGGAAUGCAGCAAGGGUAUGCAGCACUGGCGGGUGUGUGAGGAGUCUUUUUU